rnacentral:lncRNA from 1 species
CUGAAUAUGUGUAGGUUAUUAUCAUUGUUGUUGUUAUUAUUAUCAUUACUAUCGUUAUUAUUAUUAAAUAGUGAGCAUGUAUGGCUGAAUAUGUGUUCUUGUUUUGAUUUACAACGUAUCGGCUCUAUGGUAAAUUUUAUUGAUAGGCCAUGACUCAACUUGUUCCCGUAGUUUGAUUUAGACCCACAUUCUAUAGAUUUUAAGAGGAGGUUGCAUCCCAUAAAUUUGAUUAUCCUCUCAAAAGCGAAAUGUAUGGAAAUUUCUUGAAAAGUAUAGCAUCCACAUCUUGGUAUACAAGUACUGUUUCAAUUUGACAGCCACAAAUCAAUUUUAUUUUUUUAUUUGUAAUAUUGUACAAAAAUCAUAUUUAC